UAGCCAAUCAGAAAACGUGUUAUAGAACCAACGAGUAUCAGUACUCGAACUGAAAUUAACCAAUUACAAGAUAUUAUUAGUUAUAGCAGCGCUGCAAGUGAAAUUAAUUCAUUUGAUAUAUAUCUCAGACUGUGAAAGUUCAAACUUCAGCAUGUUCAUUCGGUUUUCCACAAAAUAACAAACACAAGCUGACGAUGGAAUACUUGAGGUUUAUAUUUCGUUAUCUGAUGACUAAGACACAGAUGGGAUUUUCCAUUUCAAAAUGACGAA